rnacentral:rRNA from 1 species
CAAGGCUGAGGUGUGAUGACGAGGCACUACGGUGCUGAAGUAACAAAUGCCCUGCUUCCAGGAAAAGCCUCUAAGCAUCAGGUAACAUCAAAUCGUACCCCAAACCGACACAGGUGGUCAGGUAGAGAAUACCAAGGCGCUUGAGAGAACUCGGGUGAAGGAACUAGGCAAAAUGGUGCCGUAACUUCGGGAGAAGGCACGCUGGUGUGUAGGUGAAGCCCCUGCGGGUGGAGCUGAGACCAGUCGAAGAUACCAGCUGGCUGCAACUGUUUAUUAAAAACACAGCACUGUGCAAACACGAAAGUGGACGUAUACGGUGUGACGCCUGCCCGGUGCCGGAAGGUUAAUUGAUGGGGUUAUCCGUAAGGAGAAGCUCUUGAUCGAAGCCCCGGUAAACGGCGGCCGUAACUAUAACGGUCCUAAGGUAGCGAAAUUCCUUGUCGGGUAAGUUCCGACCUGCACGAAUGGCGUAAUGAUGGCCAGGCUGUCUCCACCCGAGACUCAGUGAAAUUGAACUCGCUGUGAAGAUGCAGUGUACCCGCGGCAAGACGGAAAGACCCCGUGAACCUUUACUAUAGCUUGACACUGAACAUUGAGCCUUGAUGUGUAGGAUAGGUGGGAGGCUUUGAAGCGUGGACGCCAGUCUGCGUGGAGCCAACCUUGAAAUACCACCCUUUAAUGUUUGAUGUUCUAACGUUGGCCCCUUACCGGGGUUGCGGACAGUGUCUGGUGGGUAGUUUGACUGGGGCGGUCUCCUCCCAAAGCGUAACGGAGGAGCACGAAGGUUAGCUAAUCCUGGUCGGACAUCAGGAGGUUAGUGCAAUGGCAUAAGCUAGCUUGACUGCGAGCGUGACGGCGCGAGCAGGUGCGAAAGCAGGUCAUAGUGAUCCGGUGGUUCUGAAUGGAAGGGCCAUCGCUCAACGGAUAAAAGGUACUCCGGGGAUAACAGGCUGAUACCGCCCAAGAGUUCAUAUCGACGGCGGUGUUUGGCACCUCGAUGUCGGCUCAUCACAUCCUGGGGCUGAAGUAGGUCCCAAGGGUAUGGCUGUUCGCCAUUUAAAGUGGUACGCGAGCUGGGUUUAGAACGUCGUGAGACAGUUCGGUCCCUAUCUGCCGUGGGCGCUGGAGAAUUGAGGGGGGCUGCUCCUAGUACGAGAGGACCGGAGUGGACGCAUCACUGGUGUUCGGGUUGUCAUGCCAAUGGCACUGCCCGGUAGCUAAAUGCGGAAGAGAUAAGUGCUGAAAGCAUCUAAGCACGAAACUUGCCCCGAGAUGAGUUCUCCCUGAGACUUUAAGUCUCCUGAAGGAACGUUGAAGACGACGACGUUGAUAGGCCGGGUGUGUAAGCGCAGCGAUGCGUUGAGCUAACCGGUACUAAUGAACCGUGAGGCUUAACC